AAACAUGAUUGCGGAUUCCAAAUUAUCCGGGAUAAGGUUGAGUUCCUUGUUGUUGCAGUGGACUAUAGCAUAAUUAAAUUGCAUUGUCAGACAGAAAGUUAAAAAGACAUUCAAUAAUAAUAUUUCCAAAAGCAAUCGCCCGAACUAAAUUAUUUGUAUUUAGCUUAUCAAAAUAUAAAUAUCAACAGAAGUACAGAACCAAGAAAAAUUCAGUACUAAAGAAGAGAAGCAAACCCCAAAUGCAGGCUCCUGAAAUAGCCA
rnacentral:lncRNA from 1 species